CACGUAGGGCGCGAGCGUUGUCCGGAAUUAUUGGGCGUAAAGAGCUCGUAGGCGGCCUGUUGCGUCCGCUGUGAAAGCCCGGGGCUUAACCCCGGGUCGGCAGUGGAUACGGGCAGGCUAGAGGUAGGUAGGGGAGAAUGGAAUUCCCGGUGUAGCGGUGAAAUGCGCAGAUAUCGGGAGGAACACCGGUGGCGAAGGCGGUUCUCUGGGCCUUACCUGACGCUGAGGAGCGAAAGCGUGGGGAGCGAACGGG
rnacentral:rRNA from 1 species